CUAAAAUUGAUAUAAAUUAAUUAAGGAGUUUAUUACCGAAAUGGUCCCUCGAUUAUUACGAAAUUACCAAUUUGAUCAUCGACAAUUUUUCGUGCCUAUUAAGUCCUCGACUUCAAAAAUGUUAACCAAUUUGGUCAUCCGCCGUUUAUUUUGCCGUUAGACAUCCGUUAACUCGGGACCAAAUUGGU